rnacentral:rRNA from 1 species
GACGAACGCUGGCGGCGUGCCUAAUACAUGCAAGUUGAGCGCUGAAGGUUGGUACUUGUACCAACUGGAUGAGCAGCGAACGGGUGAGUAACGCGUGGGGAAUCUGCCUUUGAGCGGGGGACAACAUUUGGAAACGAAUGCUAAUACCGCAUAAAAACUUUAAACACAAGUUUUAAGUUUGAAAGAUGCAAUUGCAUCACUCAAAGAUGAUCCCGCGUUGUAUUAGCUAGUUGGUGAGGUAAAGGCUCACCAAGGCGAUGAUACAUAGCCGACCUGAGAGGGGGAUCGGCCACAUGGGGACUGAGACACGGCCCAAACUCCUACGGGAGGCAGCAGGGGGGAAUAUUGGGCAAUGGGCGAAAGUCUGACCGAGCAACGCCGCGUGGGUGAAGAAGGUUUUCGGGUUGUAAAACUCUGUUGGUGGGAAAGAAAGGUGGUGGGGGUAGAAAGCUCAUCAAGGAAGGGAAACAAACAAAAAAGGGAGGCCAACCUACGG